UGGGGAAUCUUAGACAAUGGGGGAAACCCUGAUCUAGCCAUGCCGCGUGAGUGACGAAGGCCUUAGGGUCGUAAAGCUCUUUCGCUAGGGAUGAUAAUGACAGUACCUAGUAAAGAAGCCCCGGCUAACUUCGUGCCAGCAGCCGCGGUAAUACGAAGGGGGCUAGCGUUGUUCGGAAUUACUGGGCGUAAAGCGCGCGUAGGCGGACUUUUAAGUCAGAUGUGAAAUCCCGAGGCUCAACCUCGGAACUGCAUUUGAAACUGGAAGUCUAGAGUCCGGGAGAGGUUAGCGGAAUACCGAGUGUAGAGGUGAAAUUCGUAGAUAUUCGGUGGAACACCAGUGGCGAAGGCGGCUAACUGGACCGGUACUGACGCUGAGGUGCGAAAGCGUGGGGAGCAAACAGGAUUAGAUACCCGGGUAGUCC
rnacentral:rRNA from 1 species